UAACAGCUUGAAGCUUAUUGCUAGAGCACACCAGCUGGUUAUGGAUGGAUAUAACUGGGCUCAUGAGCAGAAGGUUGUUACCAUAUUCAGUGCUCCUAAUUAUUGUUACCGAUGUGGAAAUAUGGCAUCCAUACGGGAAGUUGAUGACUGCAACAAAGGACACACUUUUAUUCAGUUUGAACCAGCUCCGAGGAGAGGUGAGCCAGACGUAACCCGAAGAACACCAGAUUACUUUCUAUGAACUACAAGGUUACGUUGCACAUCAGAUGAGUCUCCUACGAAUUGAAUGGCUGCUUAGGAAUUGAAUUGACGGUUAUAAUUUUGCUAUAUAUGGUGGGAUGACAUAAAGCAUGUAGAAAUGGCAGCUGAAGCUUUUUAAUUCUGUUAUGUACUAAUCUUACGGAUCGAGAUACAAUUAAAUGAAGUAAUUGAAGAUGGCGAGACGACAGUGCUGCUUGCUUAGCUUGUACCAUUUCAUGCAAAGCUCGGUUUUGUUCUUUUUUCUUGCAUGUUUUUGUUGUGUAUUGUAGUAGAAGGAAUGAAGGAUGAUCAUUUUCUUAAUAUUUUUCUUUUAUAAUUUUUGUUUUUCC